UAGGGAAUCUUCCACAAUGGACGGCAAGUCUGAUGGAGCAACGCCGCGUGAGUGAAGAAGGGUUUCGGCUCGUAAAGCUCUGUUGUUAAAGAAGAACGUGGGUAAGAGUAACUGUUUACCCAGUGACGGUAUUUAACCAGAAAGCCACGGCUAACUACGUGCCGG
rnacentral:rRNA from 1 species